CCUACGGGUGGCAGCAGUGGGGAAUAUUGGACAAUGGGCGAAAGCCUGAUCCAGCCAUGCCGCGUGUGUGAAGAAGGCCUUCGGGUUGUAAAGCACUUUCAGUGGGGAAGAAAGCCUUGGGGCUAAUACCCUCGAGGAAGGACAUCACCCACAGAAGAAGCACCGGCUAACUCCGUGCCAGCAGCCGCGGUAAUACGGAGGGUGCGAGCGUUAAUCGGAAUUACUGGGCGUAAAGUGCGCGUAGGCGGUCUGAUAAGCCGGUUGUGAAAGCCCCGGGCUCAACCUGGGAACGGCAUCCGGAACUGUCAGGCUAGAGUGCAGGAGAGGAAGGUAGAAUUCCCGGUGUAGCGGUGAAAUGCGUAGAGAUCGGGAGGAAUACCAGUGGCGAAGGCGGCCUUCUGGACUGACACUGACGCUGAGGUGCGAAAGCGUGGGUAGCAAACAGGAUUAGAUACCCGAGUAGUC
rnacentral:rRNA from 1 species